rnacentral:rRNA from 1 species
UACAGAGGGGGCAAGCGUUGUUCGGAAUUAUUGGGCGUAAAGAGCUUGUAGGCGGUUUGUCGCGUCUGCUGUGAAAUUUCGGGGCUCAACCCCGAACUUGCAGUGGGUACGGGCAGACUAGAGUGUGGUAGGGGAGACUGGAAUUCCUGGUGUAGCGGUGAAAUGCGCAGAUAUCAGGAGGAACACCGAUGGCGAAGGCAGGUCUCUGGGCCAUAACUGACGCUGAGAAGCGAAAGCAUGGGGAGCGAACAGG